rnacentral:rRNA from 1 species
AUUGAACGCUGGCGGCAGGCCUAACACAUGCAAGUCGAGCGAAGCGGCGGGCGGGUGAGUAAUGCCUAGGAAUAUGCCCUGUAGUGGGGGAUAAGGUCAGGAAACGGGCGCUAAUACCGUAUCCUAUCUGAUGAGCCUAGGUCGGAUUAGCUAGGUGGUGGGGUAAAGUCCUACGAAGGCGACGAUCCGUAGCUGGUCUGAGAGGAUGAUCAGUCACACGGGAACUGAGAAACGUUCCAGACUCCUACGGGAGGCAGCAGUGGGGAAUAUUGUACAAUGGGCGAAAGCCUGAUCCAGCCAGGCCGCGUGUGUGAAGAAGGUCUUCGGAUUGUAAAGCACUUUUAGUUGGGAGGCGUUACCAACAGAAUAAGCACCGGCUAACUUCGUGCCAGCAGCCGCGGUAAUUC